GGGGCCUUAGCUCAGUCUGAGAGAGCGCCUGUCUUGCAAACAGGAGGGCGUGGGUUUAAAUCCCACAGGCUCCACCA
rnacentral:tRNA from 1 species